AACCAACAAAAAAAACCAACAAUAUACAUAAUGAACACUGUUUGGAAAAGUCAACCUUUUUAAAGUAACUUUGUAAAUUAUGUUUGAAACUUAUAAAGAAUGCAUUUAUCUAAUAAUUUGUUUGUUUGUUUUUUUAUUUUUAUUUUUAUUUUUUUGUUAUUAUUUUACACAAUAUACUUUUCAGUAUCUAAAUAAUUGUUUUGUACACUAUUUCGUAAUGUUUUUCACUGAAAACGUAGCAUUGAGGUAUAUUUUCCGGAAUUUGCCGAGUAUCACCGGAAUGCCAUGUGAUAACGUUACGGAAAGGCAUGUGAUAAUAAUCGAAGCAUGUGAUAAACUUUUCAUAUCAGCCC
rnacentral:lncRNA from 1 species